AAGAGCAUGAAUAUUGUGAGAAUCUGCACAGCGGGUCUGCCAGCAAAGCCAAAAUUUGUCCUCAUUUCUCUGCAGGUAUGCUAAAGAACAUCUCCUAUGGAUUUGACCUCAGAAACAGCAAAGAGAUGGGAUGGUGCAGAAGAAGCUGGAGAAAGAAGAGAAAAAUAAGAUGGAAAAGAAACAAGGUGUAAACAAAAAACUGUGGUGUCAAUACACACAGCUUAAAAAGGCUAAAUGAAUGUCCUGAUCCAACAGGAUGUGAGGAUGUGUGGAAAGAGGGACAAAGUCUCUCAUUGCUUUUACAUCAUGGUUUUCAAGUAGUCACCUAUUCUGUACUACGGCUGAACAAAAAGGAUAAAGAAAAUACAAACAUUACACAUAAAAAUCUCACUUCCUUGAGAAAAUGGAUUAAAAAGGGAAGAAAAAGUUGAAAGAG